rnacentral:rRNA from 1 species
GAUGAACGCUGGCGGCGUGCCUAAUACAUGCAAGUCGAGCGAACAGACGAGGAGCUUGCUCCUCUGACGUUAGCGGCGGACGGGUGAGUAACACGUGGAUAACCUACCUAUAAGACUGGGAUAACUUCGGGAAACCGGAGCUAAUACCGGAUAAUAUAUUGAACCGCAUGGUUCAAUAGUGAAAGACGGUUUUGCUGUCACUUAUAGAUGGAUCCGCGCCGCAUUAGCUAGUUGGUAAGGUAACGGCUUACCAAGGCAACGAUGCGUAGCCGACCGGAGAGGGUGAUCGGCCACACUGGAACUGAGACACGGUCCAGACUCCUACGGGAGGCAGCAGUAGGGAAUCUUCCGCAAUGGGCGAAAGCCUGACGGAGCAACGCCGCGUGAAUGAUGAAGGUCUUCGGAGCGUAAAACUCUGUUAUUAGGGAAGAACAAAUGUGUAAGUAACUAUGCACGUCUUGACGGUACCUAAUCAGAAAGCCACGGCUAACUACGUG